rnacentral:pre_miRNA from 1 species
UGGGUCUUUGCGGGCGAGAUGAGGAUGUCAAUUCAACUGGCCUACAAAGUCCCAGU